UACGUAGGGUCCGAGCGUUGUCCGGAGUUACUGGGCGUAAAGCGCGUGUAGGCGGCUCGGUAAGUCUGCUGUGAAAGUCCAGGGCUCAACCCUGGAAUGCCGGUGGAUACUGUCGAGCUCGAGUCCGGAAGAGGCGAGUGGAAUUCCUGGUGUAGCGGUGAAAUGCGCAGAUAUCAGGAGGAACACCAAUGGCGAAGGCAGCUCGCUGGGACGGUACUGACGCUGAGACGCGAAAGCGUGGGGAGCAAACAGG
rnacentral:rRNA from 1 species